ACAUGCAAGUCGAGGGGCAGCAUGGUCUUAGCUUGCUAAGGCUGAUGGCGACCGGCGCACGGGUGAGUAACACGUAUCCAACCUGCCGUCUACUCUUGGCCAGCCUUCUGAAAGGAAGAUUAAUCCAGGAUGGGAUCAUGAGUUCACAUGUCCGCAUGAUUAAAGGUAUUUUCCGGUAGACGAUGGGGAUGCGUUCCAUUAGAUAGUAGGCGGGGUAACGGCCCACCUAGUCAACGAUGGAUAGGGGUUCUGAGAGGAAGGUCCCCCACAUUGGAACUGAGACACGGUCCAAACUCCUACGGGAGGCAGCAGUGAGGAAUAUUGGUCAAUGGGCGAUGGCCUGAACCAGCCAAGUAGCGUGAAGGAUGACUGCCCUAUGGGUUGUAAACUUCUUUUAUAAAGGAAUAAAGUCGGGUAUGCAUACCCGUUUGCAUGUACUUUAUGAAUAAGGAUCGGCUAACUCCGUGCCAGCAGCCGCGGUAAUACGGAGGAUCCGAGCGUUAUCCGGAUUUAUUGGGUUUAAAGGGAGCGUAGAUGGAUGUUUAAGUCAGUUGUGAAAGUUUGCGGCUCAACCGUAAAAUUGCAGUUGAUACUGGAUGUCUUGAGUGCAGUUGAGGCAGGCGGAAUUCGUGGUGUAGCGGUGAAAUGCUUAGAUAUCACGAAGAACUCCGAUUGCGAAGGCAGCCUGCUAAGCUGCAACUGACAUUGAGGCUCGAAAGUGUGGGUAUCAAACAGGAUUAGAUACCCUGGUAGUCCACACGGUAAACGAUGAAUACUCGCUGUUUGCGAUAUACGGCAAGCGGCCAAGCGAAAGCGUUAAGUAUUCCACCUGGGGAGUACGCCGGCAACGGUGAAACUCAAAGGAAUUGACGGGGGCCCGCACAAGCGGAGGAACAUGUGGUUUAAUUCGAUGAUACGCGAGGAACCU
rnacentral:rRNA from 1 species